rnacentral:tRNA from 1 species
GGGUCCGUAGCUUAGUCUGGUGGAGCAAUCGGCUCAUAACCGAUUGGUCGCAGGUUCAAAUCCUGCCGGGCCC